rnacentral:rRNA from 1 species
AUGAAUGACCCGACCUACCAAACAAGUGAUAAAAAAAUUCCAAGAAGGCUCGUCAGGGUUGGACUUAGUCUUGGGAACUGUCUUAUCACAUGCGCAUGCCCCAUGCUCCACCAAGAAAAUUUUCUUGCAAAACUAACAUCUAUUAUUAGGAACUUUUGGUGGACAGGUGUUAGAGAAGAUCCAUCUACAAAAGUUUUAUGUCUAAGAGCUUGGGCUGAUAUAUGUAUUGGAAAAAAGGAAGGUGGCUUAGGUGUCAGAAAUCUACAGGCUAUCAAUCAAAGUCUUAUUCUGUCAGCUGCUUGGAGAUUAGCAAAGGAACCUCACAGUUACCUCUUUCUUAUCCUCAAGGCCAAAUACCACAAUGACACAUCAAUUUGGAGAGCAAAACAUAAUGUUCCAAAAUCAGCCUUCUGGACUCUAUUCUUAAGUCUUAUAAUCCACCAACCACCUUACUCUUAUCCAGUUGUUGUUAGUGAUCUUUGGCUUCCUAAUCAGAAAAGUUGGAACAUCAAUCUUGUCAAUGCUCUGUUUCAUCCUCAUACUACACAAGCAAUACUGCAAACUCCUAUUGUUAACACUGUUGGAGAGGACGUGUUAGUUUGGAAGCUAACCCUUCAAACCAGCGGCCAAAAUCUGUUCCACCGCAGAUUGCAAAUCUUCCCAAUCAGGUUUGGAAAGACAAACGCAUGGAGCCAAGAGUUCAAACUUUCGCAUGGAGACUUCUUCGCCGAGCACUUCCAACGGGUAAGCGUGCAACACGAAAUGAUGCCCAGCUUGGUAGAAAGUUUUGUAAACCAUCACAGCAGCAAGAAGGGGAUUGGGGAUGAGAGCCAGGAGAUGGAAGGAGAUUCACGCCCAAUGAUGGCCGGUUCAGGUCUUGCCUCCUCGGGUUGGUCCUUGUAUCCCGCUUGGGCCUCGUGGCCUGGCCUUGAGCCUCUUUGGUUGGGGUUGAUGGAGUAG